rnacentral:rRNA from 1 species
UGGGGAAUUUUGGACAAUGGACGCAAGUCUGAUCCAGCCAUGCCGCGUGCGGGAAGAAGGCCUUCGGGUUGUAAACCGCUUUUGUCAGGGAAGAAACGAGUUUCUCUAAUACAGAGACUUAAUGACGGUACCUGAAGAAUAAGCACCGGCUAACUACGUGCCAGCAGCCGCGGUAAUACGUAGGGUGCGAGCGUUAAUCGGAAUUACUGGGCGUAAAGCGUGCGCAGGCGGUUAUAUAAGACAGAUGUGAAAUCCCCGGGCUCAACCUGGGAACUGCAUUUGUGACUGCAUAGCUGGAGUGCGGCAGAGGGGGAUGGAAUUCCGCGUGUAGCAGUGAAAUGCGUAGAUAUGCGGAGGAACACCGAUGGCGAAGGCAAUCCCCUGGGCCUGCACUGACGCUCAUGCACGAAAGCGUGGGGAGCAAACA